rnacentral:lncRNA from 1 species
UACAAUGAUGAUGAAGACAUGUUUGCAACACACAUAGAACUUUCUUCCCCUGAGCCAGAUGGACUGCUACUUACACCGUUCUGUCUCUUCUUCUCCAUAUCCAAAUUGAGCAAGAAGUUGUCAGGUUCAUUGCUGUCUUUCUUGUGAGGGUCAAAGUUUGAGACAUGCUCAAUUCUGAUUUCUUUGAUCUCUUUGGAUAUAGGAGGGGUUUGGAUGAUGGGAAGACUCAAGGUUUUGGAUAUUCUUGGUUUCUUUUUCCAUAUGAGACAAAAUGAAAGAACAGAAAGUAUGGCUAUGAUGAACAAUGCAAUGGAGAUAACGGUUGCUUGCCAGAUCUUAAGUCCAGACAUUGUUUCCUUCCUAAUCUGUUUGAUUCAAGAUCAUCAAAAUUAAAGAGAUAAAACUUCACACAACGGCACCACAGAAAGAAAGAAUUAAAUUGUAGAAAGCUACAACAUGAAAAAUGAUGUGAGAUUGAUGAAGAAUAGGCUCCAAAGUUGAUUUAAUGGUCCCAUAUUAAACAUAAAGGACCACUAAGGAGCUUAAUAACCCAACAAGUCAAGAAUAUAGCUAAAUGCAGCAAUCAUUACAUAUAUCAUUAUCCAGUUAGAAGAUGGCAUAAGACAAGCAAUGAUGGUAGAAUAUCAAGGAAUGUGAGAAUAUAAUGAUGUACAUUACCUCUAAGAAUGAAACUUGAUGAGAGAAGCUCUUCAAAGAAAAGGAAAAAAAGACUAUAACUUUUAGAUGAAACUGGGAAAACAGAGUUUUUUUGUAAAGAAAGAUGUUGAACUUUUUAUGUGUAGAAGAAGAGUAAGAAAGAUGAAAGUUAUAAAAUAAAUAAAAGAAAACUUUAAAGCGUGAGCUGUGAAAUCUGGUGGAAGAAGAAGAGAUGGAGUUAUCAAGUGGUAGGUGAUAAAAAAAUCCAGUCUCUCUUUAACUUUUUUUUUCUUUUAAUUUAGGUGGUGAGAAACAAAGAAGCUUGCAUUGCAAAUUACAUUUCAUUACAUCACAUGAAACACCGUCUGCAUAAGCGUAUAUUAUACAUAUAUAUAUAUAUAUAUAUAUUAUGCAUUUCCGUGAGGCAGGAGGAUGAAAACUUUAAUGUAUAGCAGCAACUGUGGACUUAAAAACAUUUUAUAUCGGCAGAGAGAAGUAGUAGUCUUCUAGAAUAGCUUUUGAGUUGUGAAGCAAAUUACGAAAGAGGUUGCUUAAUCUUUGUUCAUCGUCGUCUCCUUGAAAAAGAAAGUCCAACAAAUUUGGAAAGCCUCCAUCGAAUCGUAUUAUUUAUUUCCAAAUGUAGCUCCCUCACACAAUUGCGAUCAAACCAAUGAAUAAUCAUUUGGUUUGGUUAGAUCCCCGGUUUAAAAACAAGAAUAGAAGCUCAAAUUGGACCGUAAUAAAUAUACCAGUCUUGGGCUUCAAAUUAUAUUCUGAGCCCAAUGUAUAAUUUUGUCCAGAAUAUUUAGACCAAAUUUCUCCAACCUUCCCGGUUAGGGCUGGCAGAUAAACCGAAUCCGAAAACCCGAACCGAACUCGAUCCGAUAAAAAUGAAUUCAAACCGAUUUAAAGCCGAUUUAAAUACCGAAUUGAUCUUCUUUUAUGGUAUUUCGGGUUAUGGGUAUUAUCCGAACCGAACAUUCAAAAAUCUCAAAAAAAAAUUUGUAACAUUCAAAAUCUCAAAAAAAAAAUUAUAACGAACAUGGCUCAGUUUCUAAUAUAUAUCCAAAAUACACUAAGAUACUAUUGAACAUCUAAAAUAAUUAUCUAUUACAUGAAGGUUGAUGGUUAAAGGUGGCGUUUGAAGCUUGAAGUUUUUAGAUUUUGGUUUUGUUUUCAUUGAAUAAUGUUUCUCAUUUCACGAGAACUUGGUUUUCAUGCUUUCAUUUAUUCAGAUAACUAUGUUUACCUUUCAUGUUUGAUGUUCCUUUCCUAUUUUUGAAUAAAUUUUAGUUAUGGUUUGGUUACAAAAUAUGUAUAAAUCAAGUAUUUUAAAACCAAAAAACCGAUUUUAUUAAUGUUUUUCUUACAAAGUAGAUACAAAUCAUGUACUUUUAAACCAAAAAACCGAUUGAGACCUGAACCCGAAAGUACAUCGGAUUGUCCCGGUUCUUUGGAGAUUUACUAACCCCGAUCCAAACCUGGCAGAACCCAAACCGGUUUCAAACCGAACUUUCAUAUAAUCCGAAUGAAGCUGAUUUUUAUAAAUCUGAAAAAUCAAAACCCGAUUGAACAAAACUGAAACCCGAUUGGGAUCCCGAAUGCCCAGGCCUAUUCCCGGUCUAUAACAAUCUUGAAUUUCUCUCUUCAAAUGAAUUCAAGAACUAGUGUUAACUUUUUUGGAUAUGUGACAAUAGUUUAGUGGUAGCUUUACUGUUGAACCCAUGUAUUCUUUUAAGAAGAUAGUAUCAAGAUCCACCAUUCCACAUGGGUUGUCCCUACUUGCAUGAAUCAAUCUUCUUAUCUCAAGAACAAAGUUGUACACAUUUUUAUUUUCUAAUGAGCAAAGAAGAAUCAUUUUCAAACGUGUAGAGUAUAGCUUUUAAAAUUAGGACAAUUAAUUAAUCCAUUAAACAAACAGCUAACAGAGCUUUACCUUCUCUGCUUUUUCUCCCUCACUUUCCGCUUUGGAGAUUUAUUUAAAUCUUUGUGGGUUUUGCUGAGCUAAGCAGAAGAUCAACCUUUGUAUUAAUUAAUCUCAUGAUCUUAAUCUGCAGCGCCACUCUCUUCCUUUUUCUCCUUUUUGGCUAAGAGAAAAAAGAUAUAUAAAUACCAAUUUGCAGCUUCUUUCUUGAAAACUUUGCAGAACUAUCUUUAUGCAUAUGCUUAUGUCUGAAACGGAUCUGACAAAAAUGUUUUUCUCUUUCUGUUUUGUUAACAUAAGGCAAAAGCUUGUGUAUCUUUGCACACAUAUAUAAAGAUGAGACUAGGCACAGGCCUAAUCCAAAAAGACUUCAUAGCAAAGCAAACAUCUUUUCUCUUUUAUUUUUUUCUUACUUAGUCACUUGCAUGUAAAAUACAGUCAGCUUCUUCCCCCCAAUUUUCUCAAGAGAAUCUCAAAGCUUUUGUCCUCCUUUCUUAAUCACAUCUUCUUCACACCAUUAUGUACUUAUAAACCCAAGAAAGAAGAAGAGAAAAAAAAACACACAAACCCAAUCUCAAGCUCUGAUGGCGCAACAGAGUUACUUCUUCUUGUUUCUUUCUCUUGUCUCACUCUCUUCCUCAUCAACUACAACUCAUGAUGUCUUAAACCCACCAAUGGUCUUCCCUACAAACCCUACAACCACACCACCUGUUACUACAUUCCCUCCCGUGACCAUAACGCCAACAAACCCUGCCACAACAGUUCCUCUUACACCUCCAGUCACAACAGUCCCUGCAACACUCACACCACCUGUGACCAACCCAGUGACUCAGUACCCUCCAACACAACCCUCAGGAACGGUUCCUGUGAUUCCAUCAAACUCUCCUUCGGUUUCAGGUCAAAGCUGGUGCGUGGCAAAGCCUGGAGCCUCUCAAACCUCACUCCAACUGGCUCUUGACUAUGCCUGCGGGUUAGGUGGAGCGGAUUGCUCUCAGAUACAGCAAGGAGGCAACUGUUAUUCGCCUAUCAGUCUUCAGAACCAUGCCUCAUUUGCCUUCAACAGCUAUUACCAGAAGAACCCUUCUCCUCAAAGCUGCGAUUUUGGCGGUGCAGCCUCACUUGUUAGCACCAACCCAAGUAAGUGAGGGAAAAAAAUGAUAUAUACUCUUGUUUCUUGUUUAAUCUUUUAAUCGGGCCACAGUGGAUAUGGUCUUUUCCAGUUGAGCUAAUAACCUGUGGUGUUUUUUUCAACCAUACGAUUGAACCAUUUUUGUUUCAAAAACAGGCACUGGUUCUUGUAUUUACCAAACAGGCUCAUCAACAUCAACCUCAACGCCAACUCCAUCAACACAAACGGUGAACCAGCCUCCUGUUACAUCGACACCUAUAAUACCAACAGGAGGCGGUAUAAUCGGGUAAGAUAAAGACAUUCUUUCAACACUCUUGUUUUUGUCUCAAAGCCUAACUGAAAAUGUAUCUCUUAUCUAUAUUUUCAAGGGUUGGAACUCCACCAGCAGUUUUUAACCCGGCGAACCCUUCAUCAAACACUCUAAACUAUCCAUUAUCAGGAGGUCCCGCGGUCUACGGGUUUGAUGGUUCACCUAGUGGGAACAAUCCGACGUUAUCAGACUCUACCAACUUGCAGCUUCACUUUGGUCACACUAUGGUGGUAACAUUGUUUCUUCACGCAGUGCUAUUUCAUUAGAAAGUAGAAUUUAGAUAGGAGUCAGAAUUAGUUUAAUGAGAUAGUGUUCCACAAGCUCAAGCUCAUUUAGUGUAACGUACCAAGAAGAAGCUAGGAAUGUUAAGACAUUAUAAAUUUGUUUUGUUCAAACGCUCAGUUUCGGUUUUGUACAGAAAACUCCCUUUUGUUUCCUUCUCUCUUUAGGACCAAAGCAGAAACUCAGACGUUGUAACAAAGAGGUGUUGUUCUAUCUACUUUAACAUAGUCUAAAUGAAUUCUUUCAAUAAUUUAACGCCUAGAAAAGGCAACUAAUAUCAGCAUCGAAAUGGAGACAACAACCUUGAAACCUGACUUGUCCCAGAAGUUUUGGUUAUUAAAAGGACCAGCUUCAUGCUGUUUUUUUGCAGCUAGUUGCUUCUUGAGUUCUUGUAUUGCCACAGCGUUUCUCUCUCCGAUCUACCAAACCACAGAAAAAACAAACAUCUCAAUUUUCAUAUAAAUUACUAUGCUAAAGUUAAAGCAAGUGAGAGUUUAUUUUACCUUGUGAAGUUUUCGAGUUUGGAUGCGUGUUUCGCCAAGGCAAAACUCUAGCUUCAGCACCUUCUUUUUAAGCUCCUGGUUAAUCCUCCUUUGAUUCUCCACCUGCUCCAUAUAAACAUAGGCUUUACUUGAUUAAACCAUAAAGAGACGCUAAAUAGCAUGUGUUGUUGGUAUCCAAGAAGACGUACCAAGUUCUUGUGACGCACAUGACCAAUAGCAUCAACCUCUACUCUAAACUCUUUCUCAGCUUGUCCCCUACAAAAUCAAAAAUUUCAGAAUAUUUAACAAAAUUAAAUAGAGAGAACUCUUUUUUUUUUUGAAACCAUAUAGUAUAACUCACAAAUGGUUCAAGAUCUUUUUCACGGCUACAUGAGUUCCAUUGGUCAGCUCUCCUCUGUAUACGACUCCAUAUCCUCCUUCACCAAUCACAUUCUCUUGUGAGAAACUGUUUGUUGCUAUCUCAAGAUCUCUCAGAGUAAACCAAUGACCCCAACCAAGGUGUGACUCAGGUAAACCGGAGAGAGGUGAUGGUGUUGCCAUCUCAUACAAUGAUGAUGAAGACAUGUUUGCAACACACAUAGAACUUUCUUCCCCUGAGCCAGAUGGACUGCUACUUACACCGUUCUGUCUCUUCUUCUCCAUAUCCAAAUUGAGCAAGAAGUUGUCAGGUUCAUUGCUGUCUUUCUUGUGAGGGUCAAAGUUUGAGACAUGCUCAAUUCUGAUUUCUUUGAUCUCUUUGGAUAUAGGAGGGGUUUGGAUGAUGGGAAGACUCAAGGUUUUGGAUAUUCUUGGUUUCUUUUUCCAUAUGAGACAAAAUGAAAGAACAGAAAGUAUGGCUAUGAUGAACAAUGCAAUGGAGAUAACGGUUGCUUGCCAGAUCUUAAGUCCAGACAUUGUUUCCUUCCUAAUCUGUUUGAUUCAAGAUCAUCAAAAUUAAAGAGAUAAAACUUCACACAACGGCACCACAGAAAGAAAGAAUUAAAUUGUAGAAAGCUACAACAUGAAAAAUGAUGUGAGAUUGAUGAAGAAUAGGCUCCAAAGUUGAUUUAAUGGUCCCAUAUUAAACAUAAAGGACCACUAAGGAGCUUAAUAACCCAACAAGUCAAGAAUAUAGCUAAA